AUGUCCUCGUUCUUGAGACAAGAAGUGAUUUAUAUGUAAAAUAGUCUCUAGUUGAUACUCUAAUACAUUGGUCGAUACGAAGCAGACAGCCAACAUGCUCAAAUUAAUUUCAUUGAUUUUCCUACUGAUGGGGAUUCAAUCUUCAACUAUUGCUAUGGAGGAUAUUGACUGUGCAAGUGGUGCAUUCGAAGGCGUAUUCUUCCCUCAUCCAGAAUCUUGCCAAAGCUACCUGACAUGCUUUCUAGGACGAUUGAUUGAAGGUCAAUGUGGAUAUGGAUUAUUCUUCGAUUUGGAGAGGCAAAUUUGCGAAGCUGAAUCACGCGUUCGCUGUGUCAUGCCUGUCGUGAGCACAGUAUAAGGUUCACUUAAUGAUGGAAUAAUUGGAUUUUUCUCUAAACACCUCAUUGCUACGUGAUCAGUUAUAUAACUAACCACAAUUAUAUAUUCAUGUUUUUGACUUUCUCGUCUCGUUUAUGUAUACUUAAAGAAACUAGUAAGGAAAUAAAAUUAUCUCGAAACAAGAA